AAUCAACGCUGGCGGCGUGCCUAACACAUGCAAGUCGCACGAGAAAGGGGAGCAAUCCCUGAGUACAGUGGCGCACGGGUGAGUAACACGUGAAUUAUCUACCUCCGAGUGGGGAAUAACUGAGAGAAAUCUUAGCUAAUACCGCAUAACACUUACGAGUCAAAGCAGCAAUGCGCUUGGAGAGGAGUUCGCGGCAGAUUAGUUAGUUGGCGGGGUAANGGCCCACCAAGACGAUGAUCUGUAUCCGGCCUGAGAGGGCGCACGGACACACUGGAACUGAAACACGGUCCAGACUCCUACGGGAGGCAGCAGUGGGGAAUUUUGCGCAAUGGGGGAAACCCUGACGCAGCAACGCCGCGUGGAGGAUGAAAUAUCUUGGUAUGUAAACUCCUUUUCGAUGGGGAAGAUUAUGACGGUACCCAUAGAAGAAG
rnacentral:rRNA from 1 species